UGGGGAAUUUUGGACAAUGGGGGCAACCCUGAUCCAGCCAUCCCGCGUGUGCGAUGAAGGCCUUCGGGUUGUAAAGCACUUUUGGCAGGGAAGAAACAGCCUGGGCUAAUAUCCCGGGCGACUGACGGUACCUGCAGAAUAAGCACCGGCUAACUACGUGCCAGCAGCCGCGGUAAUACGUAGGGUGCAAGCGUUAAUCGGAAUUACUGGGCGUAAAGGGCGCGUAGGCGGCGCGGUAAGUCACUUGUGAAAUCUCUGAGCUUAACUCAGAACGGCCAAGGGAUACUGCUGUGCUAGAGUGCGGAAGAGGCAACCGGAAUUCUUGGUGUAGCGGUGAAAUGCGUAGAUAUCAAGAGGAACACCUGAGGCGAAGGCGGGUUGCUGGGCCGACACUGACGCUGAUGCGCGAAAGCCAGGGGAGCAAACG
rnacentral:rRNA from 1 species